rnacentral:rRNA from 1 species
CCUACGGGUGGCAGCAGUGAGGAAUAUUGGUCAAUGGGCGGGAGCCUGAACCAGCCAAGUCGCGUGAAGGAAGAAGGUACUUAGUAUUGUAAACUUCUUUUGUCGGGGAACAAAGGCGGGGACGCGUCUCCGGAUGAGUGUACCCGAAGAAAAAGCAUCGGCUAACUCCGUGCCAGCCGCCGCGGUAAUACGGAGGAUGCGAGCGUUAUCCGGAUUUAUUGUGUUUAAAGGGUGCGCAGGCGGGAGAUCAAGUCAGCGGUAAAAGGUCGGGGCUCAACCCCGGCCGGCCGUUGACACUGGUUUUGUAGAGUUGGAGAGAAGUAUGCGGAAGUCGUGGUGUAGCGGGGAAAUGCAUAGAUAUCACGAAGAACUCCGAUGGCGAAGGCAGCAUACCGGCUCCAUACUGACGCUGAGGCACGAAAGCGUGGGGAUCGAACAGGAUUAGAUACCCUUGUAGUC